GAGUUCAAUAGUACGUGAAACUGCUUAGAGGUUAAGCCCGAUGAACCUGAAUAUCCAUUAUGAAAAAUUCAUCAUUAAUACUAUGAUAUUUAUAAUAUUAUAGAAAUAGUGUGCAAUUUUUUCAUAUAAGGACAUUGUAAUCUGUUAAUGUAAUAAAUAUUUAUUAAAAGAUCUUAUACACAAGUUUAUUCAAAUUAGUUAUUUUCGAAUUUCUAACAUAGAAUAAAUGUAUUUGAUUUAAUAAAUCAUUGACAGAUUUAAUUAUAAUAUAGUGCUUAAAUUUUGAACGAAAUUUUACAAUAAUAUAAUAAUUUAAUUUAUUAUGUUUAAUUGUAUGCGCUUAUAUGAUUAACAAUGCGAUAGAUUCAGGAUACCUUCGGGACCCGUCUUGAAACACGGACCAAGGAGUCUAACAUAUGUGCAAGUCAUUGGGUAUUUUUAAUAAAACCCAAUGGCAUAAUUAACUUAACUGUUUUUUAAAUGGGAUUAGUUUAUAUUUUAUUAUGAAAUAUUAAUUCAAUCCCGGGGCGUUCUAUAUAGUUAUACAUAAUGAUAUUUAUAUUAUUUAUGCCUCUAACU
rnacentral:rRNA from 1 species